rnacentral:lncRNA from 1 species
AUUUCCCCAAAUAAUUCAGUUUCUGCCAUUUCAAUGUUCUUGUUCUUGUUGUCCUCAAUUCCUUCCAUUUCACUGAUACAAUUCUCAAAUCACAGUAUAAUAUCUCAAAUUGCAAAAUAUUGCGACUCAAGAAAUAAGAUAGGCAAUGAAUAAUAUCUCAGGGCAGAUAAAUCUCCAAUCACAGCUUUUAUAUGUAACCCAAGACAAAAAAGAU